CACACACACACACACACACACACACACACACACACACACACACACACACACACAAACAGAUAUCCAGAUACACAGACACACACACACAUACAUAGCUGGCAAAUUGAUGCUGAGAUUUACCUUUGUUGCUCUCAUCUUCUCUUUCAUCCACUCUGACCACCUGAGCAGUGUCAGCCAUCUUGGUUCCAUCUUUGACCUGAACGCUAGCUGGGUGGUAGAACUCAAUGGGGAACCCUGCAUUCAGGUGGACCUAAACUCAAGAUGGCCACUAGGUGUUUAAGUUCUUGAAGAUGUUACAUAUGUUUCCCUGUGUCUUCUCACUCUGCAGAGUCAUGGAGGAGAAUAAUCAAAUGACCCUCCAUUGUUAAGAAAGGAUGCCAACCUGGCAGAGAUAUAGGUGUGGAAGAAGGCAGAGGAAGACAAAAGAAUAGGCAACGAGAGGAACACUAUUAUGUCUAUUUUUUUGUAUGGAAGAUGUACGAGUUUGAUGUAAUUAAACCAAAAUGACCGAGUGCAAUUACAGAAUACACUAUUCUACACGUUCCACAAGCUUAUUCAUAGUUAUUUACAGAAUUUAUGUUAUUCUCUCACACACACACACACACACACACACACACACACACACACACACAAUAACAGUACUUCCUGUGUGGCUAGGAUGUGAGCUGACUAGCAGCCACUGCUUAAAGAAGUGAGCUUACAGCUCUCAUUUGCAAAGAGGUUGUAUGAGGGACUAUUAGUUUGCACUUCCACACAAAAGAUGUUGCACUGAAAAUCCUGCUGUUUUAUACGACCAACAAACUCUACGAACUACCACUCAACGGCAGCGUCGUUAAUGUGAAUGAAAUAAAAUAAGUUUUAUGUAUUCAUUCUUUUGCUGACUUUCCUGUUAUUCAGAGAGAAACAUUGCGACGGAACAACUUUGACCAAUCGCUCCACCAGAGCGUCCCCUGCUGCUGCAGCUGUCAGGCCCUGCGUCCGAACACAGGCUACCGGGGUCGGAGGGGCCUCAUCCAACCCGGUAUCACACGAUUGCGUGCUCCUGCGCACAAACGUUACUCUAUUGAAGCGUGUUCCAGAGCACUUUUUGCGUGUUACACACGCAAAAAACUUUAUACGUGUGAC
ensembl:lncRNA